UUACGCCUUCAUGAAGCUGGAAUUGCUAGUAAUGGCAGGUCAGCAUACUGCCGUGAAUACGUUCCCGGGCCUUGUACACACCGCCCGUCACACCAUGAGAGUUGGGGAUACCCGAAGCCUGUGAGCCAACUUUUUAAGAGGCAGCAGUCGAAGGUAGAAUCAAUGAUUGGGGUGAAGUCGUAACAAGGUAGC
rnacentral:rRNA from 1 species